GUGCUUGUUUUAGCAGCACAUAUGCUAAAGUUGGAAUGACACAGAGAAGAUUAGCCUGGCCUCUGUGCCAGGAUGACACACAUUUGUAAGGUGUUCCAUAAUUUU
rfam:Canis lupus familiaris chromosome 6, whole genome shotgun sequence.